UACACUCACUACUGUAAGUCGCUCUGGAUAAGAGCGUCUGCUAAAUGACUGAAA
rfam:Salmo salar isolate Sally breed double haploid chromosome ssa09, whole genome shotgun sequence.